rnacentral:lncRNA from 1 species
UUCUAGCUACAGAACUCAGUGAAGAAUCUUUCCCAACAUUGCUCUUAAUUUCGAAAUUAAUGAAGGUAAUGGAUUAAAACAUUGUAAGACAUUUCUGUAUCCUGCAAUUAAUUCUGACCCCGUAUAGAAGAUUUUUCUGCUGCUUUCAUGUAAAACCUUAUAUGUGAAUAUGUGCUUCAGCCAUAACCUUCCUUUUCUUUGAAGUUCUCUCUGGACACUCUGUACGUGUCUACAGCAAAACACGUUUUCGAAAAAAAACUGAAGCCAAAGCUCCUGAAGUUAACACAAGCUAAAUCCUCAACACUGAUUAACAAGGAAAUAACUAAGAUCACGCAGACCAUCGAAUCCUGCUUACUCUCUAUAGUCAACCCAGAGUGGGCUGUAGCUAUUGCCAUCAGCCUUGCCCAGGAUAUCCCUGAAGGUUCCUUCAAGAUAUCUGCUUUGAAAUUCUGCCUUUAUUUAGCUGAGAGAUGGCUACAGAAUAUCCCAUCGCAGGACGAAAAACGUGAAAAAGCCGAGGCUUUGUUGAAGAAGCUUCAUAUCCAGUACCGGCGAUCGGGCACAGAAGCUGUGCUCAUAGCCCACAAGCUGAACACUGAGGAAUAUUUAAGAGUGA